rnacentral:rRNA from 1 species
AGAGUUUGAUCCUGGCUCAGAAUAAACGCUGGCGGCGUGCCUAACACAUGCAAGUCGAGCGAGAAAGUUCCUUCGGGAGCAAGUACAGCGGCGGACGGGUGAGUAACGCGUGAGAAUUUACCCUUUAGUGAAGAAUACCUCUGAGAAAUCAGGGUUAAUACUGCAUAAGUCCCUUCGGGGAGAAAGGUGGCCUAUUUGCUGCCGCUAAAGGAUAAGCUUGCGGGCUAUUAGCUAGUUGGUGGGGUAAAGGCUCACCAAGGCAAUGAUGGCUAGCCGGCCUGAGAGGGUGUACGGCCACACUGGAACUUAGACACGGUCCAGACUCCUACGGGAGGCAGCAGUGAGGAAUAUUGCGCAAUGGGCGAAAGCCUGACGCAGCGACGCCGCGUGAAGGAUGAAGGUCUUCGGAUUGUAAACUUCUGUUAAGUGGGAAGAAAGAUUCAUCCCUAAUACGGAUGAAGGAUGACGGUACCAUUAGAGAAAGCACCGGCUAACUUCGUGCCAGCAGCCGCGGUAAUACGAGGGGUGCAAGCGUUAUUCGGAAUUAUUGGGCGUAAAGGGUGCGUAGACGGCUUAUCAAGUCAACUGUUAAAUUCUCCGGCCUAACUGGAGGUCAGCAGUAGAAACUGAUAGGCUUGAGGGUGGAAGAGAGAAGUGGAAUUCUCGGAGUAGCGGUAAAAUGCGUAGAUCUCGAGAGGAACACCGAUGGCGAAGCAGCUUCUUGGUCCAUACCUGACGUUGAGGCACGAAAGCGUGGGGAGCAAACAGGAUUAGAUACCCUGGUAGUCCACGCCGUAAACGAUGAUCACUAGACGUUAACUCUGCUUGCGGAGUUGGUGUCGUAGCUAACGCGAUAAGUGAUCCGCCUGGGGAAUACGGUCGCAAGACUAAAACUCAAAGGAAUUGACGGGGGCCCGCACAAGCGGUGGAACAUGUGGUUUAAUUCGACACUACGCGAGGAACCUUACCUAGGCUUGACAUGCUUUUGACAGUUGUAGAAAUACAAUCUUCUUCACUUUGUGAAGACAAUUGCACAGGUGCUGCAUGGUUGUCGUCAGCUCGUGUCGUGAGAUGUUGGGUUAAGUCCUUUAACGAGCGCAACUCUUGCCGAUAGUUGCUAUUUAUGAAAAGCACUCUAUUGGGACUGCCUGGGAAACCAGGAGGAAGGUGGGAAUGACGUCAAAUCAUCAUGGUCCUUAUGUCUAGGGCUACACACGUGUUACAAUGGCCAGUACAAAGGGUAGCGAUUCUGCGAAGAGGAGCUAAUCCCAAAAAGCUGGUCUAAGUUCGGAUUGCGGUCUGCAACUCGACCGCAUGAAGCUGAAAUCGCUAGUAAUCGCGUAUCAGAACGACGCGGUGAAUACGUUCACGGGCCUUGUACACACCGCCCGUCACACCACGAGAGCUGUUUGUACCCGAAGUUAUCUUAGCCAACCGUUUCGGAGGCGGAUACCUAAGGUAUGGGUAGUGAUUGGGGUGAAGUCGUAACAAGGUAACC